UGCUGCGAGCAGCCGUGCUCCCGUCGCCCAGGCUCCAUUGGCUCCCCUGUGUUUCUGCAGAGGGAAAACAAUCUGAGGUGUUCUACAGAAGUAAAGUACCUGGGAAAAUAAUCUGAGGUGUUUUAGAGUAGAAAAGAAAGCUGCAGUGUAACUCUUCCCGUAUUUGUGUGGUAAGGUGCUGAAUGCAGCCAUCUGCCCAGGUAAACGCAAGAAAAAAUCUCUAAGGAGACCUGGAGAACUAAAGAAAUGAGCUUGUGAUGUGCAGAGUCUCUGAAGGGUGAACAUCAUGAUAGCAAAAACCAUGCUACAGGGAAAAGAAUAGAGCUUCUAAACAAAGAAAGCAGUGGAAACCAGAAAAAGACAUGAAGAAAAACACUCCAAACUGUCUUCCUUUAUAUGCAUGAGAACUCGGAGUUCCCCUGAUGAAAGCUGAUGACUUUUCAGAAGCAAAGAAUGAGAUGAGACUGUGUGACUAGAAAGCAAAGGGAACAAAUUGUCUGCAAAUCAUAAAAAAUCUUGAACUAUAGUUUAUGAACUGGAGGUGGAUAUUAUGAUUCCAGAAAUGUAUCUUUCAUCAAAUCAUUUACUUUCAUGGCCUACUUCCCCAAAUGUAGAGCAGAAAUACACUGAGGCUUGUCCUUCUUCUAGGUGGCUUCAUUGAUUUUACUGAGUGUGUUGAACCCUUCACUGUUAAAUGCUAGAGGAGUUUAUUGUGUAAGGGUAGUAAAAAGUGCAGAUGGACAGAGAAAGGUAUGUCCACAGCACCCAGGUCAGUGCUUAGGGU